GUGUCAUUACUUCUGGUCGUGGCGCUCGUGGAUCUAAUCCAUUGUACACCAACGGACCGCAAAGCUGAUUAUGUAAUAGACAAUAGCAGUUCUAAAGAUCCUGAAGAUAAACCUGUACCAAACUCAGUCACAGAGAAGGGGGAAGUGGCUGGGUCAGCCGCGGAAGUUGUCGAUCUCGAUGAUUCUGUACCCGUGAAAACAAACGAAGAAGCUAAGAGUCCCGUCGCAACUACGGAACCAAACACUGAAAAUACGAGCAGUCCAAAAUACCAUCCUAAACAACAGAAUCUUCCUCAACAGUCUCAACAGGAUUCCCGUCAGCAACCUAACCGUUAUCCCCAACCAGACCCUCAGUUAUACCCCCAACAAUACCCUCAGAUAUACCUUCAACAAAACCCUCAGUUAUACCCACAAAUCCCUGAUACAUACUUUGUAUACCCAGUAGCAUAUCCUCAACCAUACCUCCAGCAGUAUACUCCCGUUGUUGAAUACUCUCGACUGAAUCAAGCCCCUGGAAUUCCGAGUUACUCUGUUCUAGUGCUAUAAGCUGCCAUAGAACAAUAGAACUAAACAAUAAGGCAAAAAGUUUGAAUUUCUGUCGUCUUUGGUGUCUCCUAUUUACUUGGUGUUUUUGUUCAAUAAAUGUUUGAAACUUUAUA